rnacentral:piRNA from 1 species
UAAGCUUGAUAAUGGGCACGGUCCUGUGAA